rnacentral:rRNA from 1 species
UAAACUGGUGCGUAAAGUCUUCCAGAAUACCGAACACGUUCAUGUCGUCGGCCUGCGAGGAUUUGCGCCGCAACUCCCUGAAACGCUUCCAGGAACUGACGAAGCGCCUUCUCAGGCGAGUUAAAAUUAAGGCGGCAGCAAUGCCGCCUUUUCUUUUUCCGAAAACUCCGUUUCUGCACUAAAAAAGUGGCACAUUACGGCGCGCUUUUCUUUAAACUUCUUUACAUUAGGUUAUGUAAAAACGUAUCGGCGUUUAUAUACUGAAGAUAAGCCUGAUGAGUAACAGGCUUGCUCGUCAUACUUUCGUGAGUAUUGGCGUUGUACAGGCAAGUCGUAAAAUAACAGCCUGGCUAUUCAGAGUAUGAUAAAAACAGGGGGCAAGGGAUGUUGCUUAAUAUGAUGUGUGGUCGUCAGCUGUCGGCAAUCAGUUUGUGCCUGGCCGUAACAUUCGCUCCACUGUUCAAUGCGCAGGCCGAUGAGCCUGAAGUAAUCCCUGGCGACAGCCCGGUGGCUGUCAGUGAACAGGGCGAGGCACUGCCGCAGGCGCAAGCCACGGCA